UUUUAACUCUUUAUAUAACAUAAAAUACACUUACAGAUUUAAAAUUCAUUCAAAUAAGGUACAGCCUAUUUGAAACAGGAUACAACCUCUCACAGAGGGUAAUGCUUAUCAUAAACGUGAUUAAGUGGGCCUAAAAGCAGCCACCUUUUAAAAAGCGUUAAAGCCUAGUCACACUAAAUUAUAAAUACCCAUCUAAGCCCAAAACCCCUUAACCCCUACUGAAUGACUUCAUACCUUUAUGAAAAUCCUUAUGUUAGAACCAGUAACAAGAAUAAUUAUUCUCCUACAAAUGUAAGUGUAAGCCGAAAUGGAACCCCCAUCGACACUCACCGCCAAUGAGCUAAUAGUAAUAACCCCCCCAAGAAAAUCUUACUCCUCCCAGCGUUAACCUUACACAAGAACUUUUCUGGAAAGAUUAAAAAAAGAGGAAG
rnacentral:rRNA from 1 species